rnacentral:rRNA from 1 species
GUAAUGCCGGAUGCUCCGACUCCUCGCAUGGGGUGUCGGGAAAGAUUUCAUCGGUAUGGGAUGGGGUCGCGUCCUAUCAGGUAGUCGGCGGGGUAACGGCCCACCGAGCCUACGACGGGUAGCCGGCCUGAGAGGGCGACCGGCCACAUUGGGACUGAGAUACGGCCCAGACUCCUACGGGAGGCAGCAGUGGGGAAUAUUGCACAAUGGGCGCAAGCCUGAUGCAGCGACGCCGCGUGCGGGAUGACGGCCUUCGGGUUGUAAACCGCUUUUGAUCGGGAGCAAGCCUUCGGGUGAGUGUACCUUUCGAAUAAGCACCGGCUAACUACGUGCCAGCAGCCGCGGUAAUACGUAGGGUGCAAGCGUUAUCCGGAAUUAUUGGGCGUAAAGGGCUCGUAGGCGGUUCGUCGCGUCCGGUGUGAAAGUCCAUCGCUUAACGGUGGAUCUGCGCCGGGUACGGGCGGGCUGGAGUGCGGUAGGGGAGACUGGAAUUCCCGGUGUAACGGUGGAAUGUGUAGAUAUCGGAAAAGAA